UUGACCUCGGAUCAGGUAGGAAGACCCGCUGAACUUAAGCAUAUCAAUAAGCGGAGGAAAAGAAACCAACAGGGAUUGCCCUAGUAACGGCGAGUGAAGCGGCAACAGCUCAAAUUUGAAAUCUGGCUUCGGCCCGAGUUGUAAUUUGUAGAGGAAGCUUUAGGCGCGGCACCUUCUGAGUCCCCUGGAACGGGGCGCCAUAGAGGGUGAGAGCCCCGUAUAGUUGGAUGCCUAGCCUGUGUAAAGCUCCUUCGACGAGUCGAGUAGUUUGGGAAUGCUGCUCAAAAUGGGAGGUAAAUUUCUUCUAAAGCUAAAUAUUGGCCAGAGACCGAUAGCGCACAAGUAGAGUGAUCGAAAGAUGAAAAGCACUUUGAAAAGAGGGUUAAAUAGCACGUGAAAUUGUUGAAAGGGAAGCGCUUGUGACCAGACUUGCGCCGGGCGGAUCAUCCGGUGUUCUCACCGGUGCACUCCGCCCGGCUCAGGCCAGCAUCGGUUCUCGUGGGGGGAUAAAGGCCCUGGGAACGUAGCUCCUCCGGGAGUGUUAUAGCCCAGGGUGUAAUGCCCUCGCGGGGACCGAG
rnacentral:rRNA from 1 species